CAGAGAAGUUAAGUAAAUUGUCUGAAAUCUCAAAGCUAGUAAGUGGUGUAGCCAGGAUUCAAACUCUGGCAGUCUGGUUCUAAAAUUUGUGUUCUUAACUACUCCGACCUGCUUUGAGAGAAUUUGGAAAGGUCAAGUCCCUCUGAAUACUUUUUAAAAAAUUAAAAUAACUUUUUUUGUGUGUGCGGUUUUAAGUUUACAGAAAAAUUGAGCAGAAAGCACAAAGAGUUCCAACAUAUCUCCCCACCACCCCUUCAAUUCCCCCUGUUAUUAACAUCUUAUAUUAGUGUUACAACUGA
rnacentral:lncRNA from 1 species